UUACGGUCAUAUCGCAUUGAGACACCGGUUCCCGUACGAUCACUGAAGUUAAGCAACGUCGAGCCUGGUCAGGACCUAGAUGGGUAAACGCUUGGGAAUACCAAGUGCUGUAAG